rnacentral:rRNA from 1 species
UGGGGAAUAUUGCACAAUGGGCGAAAGCCUGAUGCAGCGACGCCGCGUGAGCGAUGAAGGCCUUCGGGUCGUAAAGCUCUGUCCUAAGGGAAGAAUUUUGACGGUACCUUAGGAGGAAGCCCCGGCUAACUACGUGCCAGCAGCCGCGGUAAUACGUAGGGGGCAAGCGUUAUCCGGAAUCACUGGGCGUAAAGGGUGCGUAGGCGGCUCUUCAAGUCAGGGGUGAAAGGCUACGGCUCAACCGUAGUAAGCCUUUGAAACUGUAGAGCUUGAGUGCAGGAGAGGAGAGUGGAAUUCCUAGUGUAGCGGUGAAAUGCGUAGAUAUUAGGAGGAACACCAGUGGCGAAGGCGACUCUCUGGACUGUAACUGACGCUGAGGCACGAAAGCGUGGGGAGCAAACAGGAUUAGAAACCCUGGUAG